rnacentral:rRNA from 1 species
GGCGAAUGGGUGAGUAAUGCAUCGGAACGUGCCCAUGUCGUGGGGGAUAACGUAGCGAAAGCUACGCUAAUACCGCAUACGCCCUGAGGGGGAAAGCGGGGGAUUCUUCGGAACCUCGCGCGAUUGGAGCGGCCGAUGUCGGAUUAGCUAGUAGGUGAGGUAAAGGCUCACCUAGGCGACGAUCCGUAGCGGGUCUGAGAGGAUGAUCCGCCACACUGGGACUGAGACACGGCCCAGACUCCUACGGGAGGCAGCAGUGGGGAAUUUUGGACAAUGGGCGCAAGCCUGAUCCAGCCAUGCCGCGUGAGUGAAGAAGGCCUUCGGGUUGUAAAGCUCUUUCGGCCGGGAAGAAAUCGUGGUCUCUAACAUAGGCCAUGGAUGACGGUACCGGACUAAGAAGCACCGGCUAACUACGUGCCAGCAGCCGCGGUAAUACGUAGGGUGCGAGCGUUAAUCGGAAUUACUGGGCGUAAAGCGUGCGCAGGCGGUUUUGUAAGACAGAUGUGAAAUCCCCGGGCUUAAC